UACGUAGGGGGCAAGCGUUGUCCGGAUUUAUUGGGCGUAAAGAGCUCGUAGGUGGCUCGGUAAGUCGGGUGUGAAAUUUCGAGGCUCAACCUCGAAACGCCACCUGAUACUGCUGUGGCUUGAGUCCGGUAGGGGAGCGUGGAAUUCCCGGUGUAGCGGUGAAAUGCGCAGAUAUCGGGAGGAACACCAACGGCGAAGGCAGCACUCUGGGCUGGAACUGACGCUGAGGAGCGAAAGCGUGGGUAGCAAACAGG
rnacentral:rRNA from 1 species